GACGAACGCUGGCGGCGUGCUUAACACAUGCAAGUCGAACGGAAAGGCCCUGCUUUUGUGGGGUGCUCGAGUGGCGAACGGGUGAGUAACACGUGAGUAACCUGCCCUUGACUUUGGGAUAACUUCAGGAAACUGGGGCUAAUACCGGAUCGGAGCUCCUGCUGCAUGGAGGGGGUGGGAACGUUUCGGCGGUUGGGGAUGGACGCGCGGCUUAUCAGCUUGUUGGUGGGGUAGUGGCUUACCAAGGCUUUGACGGGUAGCCGGCCUGGGAGGGUGACCGGCCACAAUGGGACUGAGAUACGGCCCAGACUCGUACGGGAGGCAGAAGUGGGGAAUAUUGCACAGUGGGCGGAAGCCUGAUGCAGCAACGCCGCGUGCGGGAUGACGGCCUUCGGGUUGUAAACCGCUUUCGCCUGUGACGAAGCGUGAGUGACGGUAAUGGGUAAAGAAGCACCGGCUAACUACGUG
rnacentral:rRNA from 1 species